GGUUGAUAGAUUUGUUUUUCCUUGUAUGCUCAUAAAUGACAUUUGGUUGGGUAUGGGAUUUAGAACUUGAGCAGCCAUAGUAUUCAUGAAACCAUAACUCUCCAAUUUACACAAUUUGAAGAUAUUUGUGAUAGAAAUGUUCUACUCAUUUGUAUUGGUGUUGAACUUUGUUGUCACGAAUACACAGAUGAAAGUGGUUACAAUCUUGAUUUUGAAAAUUUUAUACCUUUUC
rnacentral:lncRNA from 1 species